rnacentral:rRNA from 1 species
ACUAUCCUACGGGGGGCAGCAGUGAGGAAUAUUGGUCAAUGGCCGGAAGGCUGAACCAGCCAAGCCGCGUGAAGGACGAAGGUGCCAAGCAUUGUAAACUUCUUUUGUCAAGGGACAAAAUCAGGCUCGAGAGCCUGACCGAGGGUACUUGAAGAAAAAGCAUCGGCUAACUCCGUGCCAGCAGCCGCGGUAAUACGGAGGAUGCGAGCGUUAUCCGGAUUUACUGGGUGUAAAGGGAGCGUAGGCGGUGCAGCAAGUCAGAAGGGAAAGCCCGGGGCU